CCUACGGGAGGCAGCAGUGGGGAAUAUUGGACAAUGGGGGGAACCCUGAUCCAGCCAUGCCGCGUGUGUGAAGAAGGCCCUCGGGUUGUAAAGCACUUUCAGUGAGGAAGAACGCCUGGUGGUUAAUACCCAUCAGGAAAGACAUCACUCACAGAAGAAGCACCGGCUAACUCCGUGCCAGCAGCCGCGGUAAUACGGAGGGUGCGAGCGUUAAUCGGAAUUACUGGGCGUAAAGCGCGCGUAGGUGGCUUGAUAAGCCGGUUGUGAAAGCCCCGGGCUCAACCUGGGAACGGCAUCCGGAACUGUCAAGCUAGAGUGCAGGAGAGGAAGGUAGAAUUCCCGGUGUAGCGGUGAAAUGCGUAGAGAUCGGGAGGAAUACCAGUGGCGAAGGCGGCCUUCUGGACAGACACUGACACUGAGGUGCGAAAGCGUGGGUAGCAAACAGGAUUAGAUACCCUGGUAGUC
rnacentral:rRNA from 1 species